UACGAAGGGGGCGAGCGUUGUUCGGAUUUACUGGGCGUAAAGGGCGCGCAGGCGGCUUUGUUUGUCAGAUGUGAAAGCCCCGGGCUUAACCUGGGAACUGCAUUUGGGACGGCAGAGCUAGAGAUCGGGAGAGGAGAGUGGAAUUCCCAGUGUAGAGGUGAAAUUCGUAGAUAUUGGGAAGAACACCGGUGGCGAAGGCGGCAUCCUGGACCAAUUCUGACGCUGAGGAGCGAAAGCCAGGGGAGCAAACGGG
rnacentral:rRNA from 1 species